GGUGAGGUGUCCGAGUGGCUGAAGGAGCACGCCUGGAAAGUGUGUAUACGGCAACGUAUCGGGGGUUCGAA
rnacentral:tRNA from 1 species